rnacentral:rRNA from 1 species
UAGAGUUUGAUCCUGGCUCAGGAUGAACGCUGACAGAAUGCUUAACACAUGCAAGUCGACUCGAGUCUUCGGACUUGGGUGGCGCACGGGUGAGUAACGCGUAAAGAACUUGCCUCUUAGACCGGGACAACAUCUGGAAACGGAUGCUAAUACCGGAUAUUAUGGUUUUUUCGCAUGGAGGAAUCAUGAAAGCUAGAUGCGCUAAGAGAGAGCUUUGCGUCCCAUUAGCUGGUUGGUGAGGUAACGGCCCACCAAGGCAAUGAUGGGUAGCCGGCCUGAGAGGGUGAACGGCCACAAGGGGACUGAGACACGGCCCUUACUCCUACGGGAGGCAGCAGUGGGGAAUAUUGGACAAUGGACCACAAGUCUGAUCCAGCAAUUCUGUGUGCACGAUGACGUUUUUCGGAAUGUAAAGUGCUUUCAGUCGGGAAGAAGUCAGUGACGGUACCGACAGAAGAAGCGACGGCUAAAUACGUGCCAGCAGCCGCGGUAAUACGUAUGUCGCAAGCGUUAUCCGGAUUUAUUGGGCGUAAAGCGCGUCUAGGCGGCAAGGAAAGUCUGAUGUGAAAAUGCGGAGCUCAACUCCGUAUGGCGUUGGAAACUGCCUUACUAGAGUACUGGAGAGGUAGGCGGAACUACAAGUGUAGAGGUGAAAUUCGUAGAUAUUUGUAGGAAUGCCGAUGGGGAAGCCAGCCUACUGGACAGAUACUGACGCUAAAGCGCGAAAGCGUGGGUAGCAAACAGGAUUAGAUACCCUGGUAGUCCACGCUGUAAACGAUGAUUACUAGGUGUUGGGGGUCAAACCUCAGCGCCCAAGCUAACGCGAUAAGUAAUCCGCCUGGGGAGUACGUACGCAAGUAUGAAACUCAAAGGAAUUGACGG